rnacentral:rRNA from 1 species
GAUGAACGAGAGCGGAAGGAAGAAAAGAGGGAACUAGAAGGAGGACCCUUCGGGCUUCGAACGGCGUACGGGUGCGUAACGCGUAUACAAUCUGCCUUUGACAGCGGGAUAGCCCGAAGAAAUUUGGAUUAAUACCUAAUGGUAUAUAGAUGUGGCAUCACCUUUAUAUUAAAGCUGAGGCGGUGAAAGAUGAGUCUGCGUUCUAUUAGCUAGUUGGAGAGGCCCCGGCUGCCCAAGGCGACGAUAGAUAGGGGGGCGGAGAGGGAUAUCCCCCACACUGGUACUGAGAUACGGACCAGACUCCUACGGGAGGCAGCAGUGAGGAAUGUGGGACAAUGGUCGGAAGACUGAUCCAGCCAUGCCGCGUGCAGGAAGACGGCCUUAUGGGUUUUCCUCUCGGUUGGCAGGGGAAGAAUAAGGUGUACGCGUAGUUUGAUGACGGUACUCUGCGCCGAAGACUCCUCUCCCUCCGUC